AAUGAACGUUGGCGGCGUGGAUUAGGCAUGCAAGUCGUGCGAGAAGCUCCAGCUUGCUGGAGUGGACAGCGGCGAAAGGGAGAGUAAUACGUAGAAAUCUGCCCUCAGGACCGGGAUAGCGUUGGGAAACUGGCGGUAAUACCGGAUAACGUCUUCGGACCAAAAGUGUGAUUCUGCCUGAGGAUGAGUCUACGACCUAUUAGCUAGUUGGCGGGGUAAUGGCCCACCAAGGCGACGAUGGGUAGCGGGUGUGAGAGCAUGGCCCGCCUCACUGGGACUGAGACACUGCCCAGACAUCUACGGAUGGCUGCAGUCGAGAAUCUUUUGUCAAUGGACGAAAGUCUGAACAAGCGACGCCGCGUGCGGGAUGAAGGCCCUCGGGUUGUAAACCGCUGUCGUAAGGGAGCAAAUCUAUUGGGGUUCUCCCCUUUAGUUGAGCAAUCUUAGGAGGAAGGACGGGCUAAGUUCGUG
rnacentral:rRNA from 1 species